GGGGUUGUAGCUCAGUGAUAAGAGCACUUGCCUAGCAUGUAUGAGGCACUGGGUUCGAUUCUCAGCACUGCA
rnacentral:tRNA from 1 species